UGCUAAGACAGCUAGGAUGUUGGCUUGGAAGCAGCCAUUCAUUUAAAGAGUGCGUAACAGCUCACUAGUCGAGCGGUCCUGCAUGGAUAAUACGCGGGCAUAAGCAUAUAACCGAAGCUAUGGGAUUGUAGAUGAUACAAUCGGUAGGAGAGCAUUCCAUUCAGCAUAGAAGCAGUACCGUGAGGUAUUGUGGAGCGGAUGGAAAAGCAAAUGUAGGCAUAAGUAACGAUAAUGCGGGUGAGAACCCCGCACGCCGAAAGAUCAAGGAUUCCCCGGCAAUGUCAAUCAUCCGGGGGUAAGUCGGAUCCUAAGGGUAAGCCGAGUGGCGAUCCCGAUGGUAAACAGGUUAAUAUUCCUGUACUGAUCAUAACUGCGAUGCAGCGACGCAGAGGUGACACUGCUGCGUACUGACGGAAUAGUACGUUGAAACCCGUAUUCUUUGAUACCGGUAGUGAAGCACGCCGGUAGAGAUGAAAGGUGAUAGUACCGCAAUGCUUCGGUUGCGCGGAUAAUGCAGGUAAGCUGACUGCCAAGAAAACCUGCUAAGCUUCAGGUAAUGAUCAUCCGUACUGUAAACGGACACACGUGAUCAGGUAGAAAAUACUAAGGCGCUCGAGAGAUUCAUGGUUAAGGAACUAGGCAAAAUGGUCCUGUAACUUCGGGAUAAAGGACGCUCUUGUGAAAGAGCCGCAGAUAAUAGGCCCAGGCGACUGUUUACCAAAAACACAUGGCUAUGCUAAUUCGCAAGAAGAUGUAUAUGGCCUGACACCUGCCCGGUGCCGGAAGGUUAAGAGGAGAGCUCAGAGGUAACUCGAAGGUUUGAAUUGAAGCCCCGGUAAACGGCGGCCGUAACAAUAACGGUCCUAAGGUAGCGAAAUUCCUUGUCGGGUAAGUUCCGACCUGCACGAAUGGUGUAAUGAUCUGGACACUGUCUCAACCGUGAGCUCAGUGAAAUUGUAGUAUCGGUGAAGAUGCCGAUUACCCGCGAUGGGACGAAAAGACCCCGUGAACCUUUACUAUAGCUUAACAUUGAAUUUGGGUAAUUGAUGUGUAGGAUAGGCCGGAGGCUUUGAAGCGGGCACGCCAGUGUUCGUGGAGCCGCUGUUGAAAUACGGCCCUUUGAUUAUUUGAGUUCUAACCCGCUGUUGCGGGGACACUGUUUGGUGGGUAGUUUGACUGGGGUGGUCGCCUCCAAAAGCGUAACGGAGGCUUCUAAAGGUGCCCUCAGACCGAUUGGUAACCGGUCGCAGAGUGUAAUGGCAUAAGGGCGCUUGACUGGGAGAGAUACAACUCGAUCAGGUAGGAAACUAGAGCAUAGUGAUCCGGUGGUUCCGCAUGGAAGGGCCAUCGCUCAAAGGAUAAAAGGUACUCCGGGGAUAACAGGCUGAUC
rnacentral:rRNA from 1 species